AAUGGAUAAAGACUCGGAAUGACACGUUGAGCCCAGCUGAAGGAAAGGGCUGACAGUUACCUGGCAUGGGGCAGUUGUACCCAGUGAACGAAGCAUGUUGUUAACCAAGAAGUGUGACCUCGCGCGUACCACGUGGAAGAAUUGGUUGAAAAGGAUCCUUCCUCCUCAAGACGAUUGUGGGGCAAAUGGACAAACAGUUAUGAAUGUCCAUUCGUGGUCAAGAGGGUCCCAUCUGACAGAACCUUGUUGUUUAUGACCACGGAUGACGACGAUUUUCCAUUCCCUGUGAAUGCGGACGCAGUUAGAAAAUACUUCGUGAAAGAAACCCGCUGGACACAAAAAAAAAAGAAUAAAGAGUCCAGGCAAAAAAUGGGCAUCCCGGCGAACCAAGAAAAAGAGAAAGGUUCGGGCAAAAGUUAGGGAUAAAAAUAAAAGAAAAGAAC
rnacentral:lncRNA from 1 species